rnacentral:tRNA from 1 species
GCAGCGGUGGUUCAGUAGUGGAAGUCUUGCCUUCCGUGCAGGUGACCUGGGUUCGAUUCCUGGCCAAUACA